AACGAACGCUGGCGGCGCGCCUAAUACAUGCAAGUCGAGCGAGAAGACGUAGCAAUACGUUUGUAAAGCGGCGAACGGGUGAGGAAUACAUGGGUAACCUACCCUCGAGUGGGGAAUAACUAGCCGAAAGGUUAGCUAAUACCGCGUACGCUUCUUGGACUUCGGUUCAGGGAGGAAAGCGAUACCGUGGGUAUCGCGCUCUUGGAUGGGCUCAUGUCCUAUCAGCUUGUUGGUGAGGUAACGGCUCACCAAGGCUUCGACGGGUAGCUGGUCGGAGAGGACGAUCAGCCACACUGGCACUGCGACACGGGCCAGACUCCUACGGGAGGCAGCAGUAAGGAAUAUUGCGCAAUGGGCGAAAGCCUGACGCAGCGACGCCGCGUGGGGGAUGAAGGUCUUCGGAUUGUAAACCCCUUUCGGGAGGGAAGAUGGAGCGAGCAAUCGUUCGGACGGUACCUCCAGAAGCAGCCACGGCUAACUUCGUGCCAGCAGCCGCAGUAACAC
rnacentral:rRNA from 1 species